rnacentral:tRNA from 1 species
CGCGGGGUAGAGCAGUCCGGUAGCUCGUUGGGCUCAUAACCCAAAGGUCGCAGGUUCAAAUCCUGUCCCCGCAACCA